CCUACGGGGGGCAGCAGUGAGGAAUAUUGGUCAAUGGACGAGAGUCUGAACCAGCCAAGUAGCGUGAAGGAUGACUGCCCUAUGGGUUGUAAACUUCUUUUAUAAAGGAAUAAAACGAGGCACGUGUGCCUUUUUGCAUGUACUUUAUGAAUAAGGAUCGGCUAACUCCGUGCCAGCAGCCGCGGUAAUACGGAGGAUCCGAGCGUUAUCCGGAUUUAUUGGGUUUAAAGGGAGCGUAGAUGGGUUGUUAAGUCAGUUGUGAAAGUUUGCGGCUCAACCGUAAAAUUGCAAUUGAUACUGGCAGUCUUGAGAUGUCGAGAGGUAUGCGGAAUGCGCAGUGUAGCGGUGAAAUGCUUAGAUAUCACGAAGAACUCCGAUUGCGAAGGCAGCUUACUAAACUGCCACUGACAUUGAUGCUCGAAAGUGUGGGUAUCAAACAGGAUUAGAUACCCUUGUAGUC
rnacentral:rRNA from 1 species